AAAUAAAAAAGAUCUCUGGCACUCAUUCACUGCUUUCUCCUGAUCAAAGUUCCAACAGAACUUUCUUGUGUUGUCUUACUGUCUUCUGAUCACCAUAAUUUCUAAGGAGAAGGGAGUGUCCAAGUGAGCCUUGCUCCCCUGCACACUCAACAUCUUGGAUCAGAGAACUUUGGAGAUAUGGGCUUUCUUGAUCUUUAGAAGUUGAACAUCUGCUGUUGAAACUCUGGCUAAGUUCUGUUACACUGGUAGAAGUAGUAGCUCUAGCAUAUAGUAAACAUUCAAGAAAUGGUGUUCCAGCAAAUUACCUAUCUGGUUUAACAACACACAUUGUUGGAAAAUA